GCUGCCCAUACCACAUGCUUACCUCAUGAACUGUGGGGCAUCCUGGCCAGGAUUUUUUGGGGGGAUAUGAUUGGGUGCUUGGGAGGGAGAUGUUGCCUGCCACAGGAGAGGGAACCUGUUCCAAAAGGACACAGUGGUGGGAUUACAACCAGUUCUCCGAACUAGACCAAAAAUUAGCUACCGGUUCUACUGAACUGGUGCGAAUAGGCUGAAUCCCACCACUGGGCACUUGAUUUUUGAGAACAAUUGGCAUCUAUGCCAAUCUAUGCCCCACAUUUUUUGUUGGCAUAAAUGCACCUCGGACAGGGGGCAUUCAGAAGCCGAAAAGGCUCAAGGUGUUGACUAACACCACAACGGCUUUUUAAAGGCUGUGAGUGUAACUUUAAAAAUGAAGCUUAACCACAGGAAACCAAAAUACUUCACUUUCAACACACAGCUGUUGCCCAAGUCAUUAAUGACUCCAGUAGAGUUAGCUUGGAAGCUCGCCUUCCAACAAAGGUUCAAUUCAAGAAACAUCUCUUUAGACAGGGAGAAGAUUUUUACUAAAACUUAAUCCUGGUUCCUUCCACACAUGUUUGCGGCAGCUAACUGUCAAAUAGCUAAAAGUCUGGCGAUGUCUCUUCGAUAGCAUAGGGCAGGGGUCUGCAACCUGCGGCUCUGGAGUCACAUGCGGCUCAUUCAUCCUUGUACUGUGGCUCCCCGUGGCUUGGGUCCUCUCAACCUCCUUCGGAGAGUCACCCUAAGGGUUAAUGGGAAAGAGUCCCCGUUCCCAGAGAGGCACAGCCUGAGACAGUUAUCCCAAGCCAUUUCCGGCUUUCCUGUCCCAGCUGCCUGGUUGGCCAGUGACGGUGAUGUAACACUUCAUGGAUUUCAUAACACACUAUAAUUGUUUAUACAAAGCAUAAAGGUCCAAAUGGCUCUUUGGGUGUUAAAGGUUGCCGACCCCUGGCAUAGGGAGAGAACGUCAAUGUCCUGGCAAACAUUGCAUUUAAAAAGCAAGCAAGAGCUAAUGUCCAAGGCUACCCAAUGUUUGUGUUACGCGUAAGUAAAUCCCUGAAAUCAAGCACAGUUUCAACUCAUCAUAAGCAGCUCCUUGGAAUGAAUUUUUCUUGUGCAAUAAAUGCAUAGCUCUCUCCCAACUAUUAUGAGUGAUUCCCCACCCCCACCCCCGCCUCCUUUUUGGCAUAGCUUGUCCUAGAGUGUUUCAGUUGCGUACGCAGACAGAAUUUGGCAUGUAGAUGUUAGCUUUUGAUGUUUUAUUGUGUAACUGUAUUACGCCUUGAUUUUACGUUCACUGUUACGUUUUUAAAACACAUGUUUUACUUACCUUCUUUAAUAAAAUUAUAAAUAGA